rnacentral:rRNA from 1 species
GAUGAACGCUAGCGGCAGGCCUAACACAUGCAAGUCGAGGGCAGCAGACCAUUUCGGUGGUGCUGGCGACCGGCGCACGGGUGAGUAUCGCGUUUGUAACCUACCCUUAACGUGGGGAUAGGCCCCGGAGAAAUUCGGAUUAAUACCCCAUAAUAUUUAAGGCACGGGCAUCGUGCUUUCAUUAAAGCUCCGGCGGUUAAGGAUGGGCAUGCGUGACAUUAGUUGUUGGUGAGGUAAUGGCUCACCAAGACUACGAUGUCUAGGGGGUCUGAGAGGAUGAUCCCCCAGACUGGUACUGAGACACGGACCAGACUCCUACGGGAGGCAG